AGUCUCCUUUUCAACUCAUUUAUCCAAGUGUGCAUUAUGGGAUAAAUUAGUACAGGUUCCCGAAGCGUACCUUUAAAAAGAAGCACUCCAGUCUCCUUCUCACCUCAUUUAUCCAAGUGUACAUUACGGGAUAAAUUAGUACAGGUUCCGAAGCGUUCUUUUUGGAAAAGGUAUAAAUGAUCCUAUUUAGGUUACCACCACAGUGACAACGCAGUCUGUUCCUUUAAGUGGCAAAAAUGUACCACUAAAACGUUUUUUUGGGGGUGUUGUUUUAAAAACUGUAUGGUGCCAAGCCUUAUUUGCAUAUUUCCCAGGGUGCCUUUCAAGUGAAUUUUAGAGUUACCAGUACCAUCAAUGACUGUUUGCUAGUGACACAGACAGCAAAGUGAUAUGGAAUUCUCAUUGGAAUGCAGCCACAGUUAGAAUAUCCCCAAAUGUUUACUUUUAAAUCACCCUCAAACAGCAUUUAAAAUGACUGCCAAAGAAGGGAAGUUUGAUAAAUGAGACUCCCUAAACCAUCUAAACAGGAACAACCAUCUCAGUAACGGGUGAAAUAAGUCCAACUACUAACAGAUUGGAUGAGUUAAAAAAAAAAGUAUGUUAUUUAUCUUUGUGUAGCAUAAGAUCAAUUCAAACAUAUUGAAACAAACAAUUCUAAAAAUCAACAUGGGAAAGUGCAUGCUGGGAAAUAUGAAAAUGGGAUUGGUUUUUGAGAGUAUAUUGGGUACAAAAAAUAUACCAUUAUACUAGAUUAUCUGCAAAUGUACCCUAAAAAGGUACUCAACAGUACCAUGUGAGAUUAUGUGUACCUCUUAAGGUACAUUGUGUAUUUUAAUAUUUUUGUACACCAGGAAACAAAGCUGUCCUCUAUUCAUACCUUUUUUCCCCUGAGUGUGCAUUCGGAAAGUAUUCAGACUCCUUGACCUUUUCCACAUUUUGUUAAGUUAUGGCCUUAUUCUAAAAUGGAUUGAAUAAAAAUUUUCCCUCAUCAA